CGAGGGGAACAGGGUGCUUGCACCGCUGACGACCGGCGCACGGGUGCGUAACGCGUAUACAAUCUACCUUGUACUAGGGGAUAGCCUUUAGAAAUGAAGAUUAAUACCCUAUAGUCUAUUUGAGUGGCAUCAUUUAAAUAGUAAAGGUUACGGUACAAGAUGAGUAUGCGUCCUAUUAGUUAGUUGGUAAGGUAACGGCUUACCAAGACUACGAUAGGUAGGGGCCCUGAGAGGGGGAUCCCCCACACUGGUACUGAGACACGGACCAGACUCCUACGGGAGGCAGCAGUGAGGAAUAUUGGACAAUGGGCGAGAGCCUGAUCCAGCCAUGCCGCGUGCAGGAAGACGGCCCUAUGGGUUGUAAACUGCUUUUAUACAGGAAGAAACACUCCCUCGUGAGGGAGCUUGACGGUACUGUAAGAAUAAGGACCGGCUAACUCCGUGCCAGCAGCCGCGGUAAUACGGAGGGUCCGAGCGUUAUCCGGAAUCAUUGGGUUUAAAGGGUCCGUAGGCGGACAGCUCAGUCAGUGGUGAAAGUUUGCAGCUCAACUGUAAAAUUGCCAUUGAUACUGGUUGUCUUGAAUUAAUGUGAAGUGGUUAGAAUAAGUAGUGUAGCGGUGAAAUGCAUAGAUAUUACUUAGAAUACCAAUUGCGAAGGCAGAUCACUAACAUUAUAUUGACGCUGAUGGACGAAAGCGUGGGGAGCGAACAGGAUUAGAUACCCUGGUAGUCCACGCCGUAAACGAUGGAUACUAGCUGUUCGGUAGCAAUACUGAGUGGCUAAGCGAAAGUGAUAAGUAUCCCCACCUGGGGAGUACGUUCGCAAGAAUGAAACUCAAAGGAAUUUGACGGGGGCCCGCACAAGCGGUGGGAGCAUGUGGUUUAAUUCGAUGAUACGCGAGGAACCUUACCAGGGCUUAAAUGUAGAUUGACAGGGGUGGAAACACCUUUUCCUUCGGGCAAUUUACAAGGUGCUGCAUGGUUGUCGUCAGCUCGUGCCGUGGAGGUGUCAGGUUAAGUCCUAUAACGAGCGCAACCCCUGUUGUUAGUUGCCAGCGAGUCAUGUCGGGAACUCUAACA
rnacentral:rRNA from 1 species